rnacentral:rRNA from 1 species
GGUUAGUAACGCGUGGGAACAUACCCUUUUCUACGGAAUAGCCUCGGGAAACUGAGAGUAAUACCGUAUAAGCCCUUCGGGGGAAAGAUUUAUCGGGAAAGGAUUGGCCCGCGUUAGAUUAGAUAGUUGGUGGGGUAAUGGCCUACCAAGUCUACGAUCUAUAGCUGGUUUUAGAGGAUGAUCAGCAACACUGGGACUGAGACACGGCCCAGACUCCUACGGGAGGCAGCAGUGGGGAAUCUUAGACAAUGGGCGCAAGCCUGAUCUAGCCAUGCCGCGUGUGUGAUGAAGGUCUUAGGAUCGUAAAGCACUUUCGCCAGGGAUGAUAAUGACAGUACCUGGUAAAGAAACCCCGGCUAACUCCGUGCCAGCAGCCGCGGUAAUACGGAGGGGGUUAGCGUUGUUCGGAAUUACUGGGCGUAAAGCGUACGUAGGCGGAUU